rnacentral:rRNA from 1 species
UACGGAGGGGGCUAGCGUUGUUCGGAAUUACUGGGCGUAAAGCGCGCGUAGGCGGCUUUGUAAGUUAGAGGUGAAAGCCCGGAGCUCAACUCCGGAACUGCCUUUAAGACUGCAUCGCUAGAAUUGUGGAGAGGUAAGUGGAAUUCCGAGUGUAGAGGUGAAAUUCGUAGAUAUUGGGAAGAACACCGGUGGCGAAGGCGGCUCACUGGCUCAUUACUGACGCUCAGGCGCGACAGCGUGGGGAUCAAACAGG